GUGGUAAUGCCGGAUGCUCCAUCACACCGCAUGGUGUGUUGGGAAAGCCUUUGCGGCAUGGGAUGGGGUCGCGUCCUAUCAGCUUGAUGGCGGGGUAACGGCCCACCAUGGCUUCGACGGGUAGCCGGCCUGAGAGGGCGACCGGCCACAUUGGGACUGAGAUACGGCCCAGACUCCUACGGGAGGCAGCAGUGGGGAAUAUUGCACAAUGGGCGCAAGCCUGAUGCAGCGACGCCGCGUGAGGGAUGGAGGCCUUCGGGUUGUAAACCUCUUUUGUUAGGGAGCAAGGCAUUUUGUGUUGAGUGUACCUUUCGAAUAAGCACCGGCUAACUACGUGCCAGCAGCCGCGGUAAUACGUAGGGUGCAAGCGUUAUCCGGAAUUAUUGGGCGUAAAGGGCUCGUAGGCGGUUCGUCGCGUCCGGUGUGAAAGUCCAUCGCUUAACGGUGGAUUCGCGCCGGGUACGGGCGGGCUUGAGUGCGGUAGGGGAGACUGGAAUUCCCGGUGUAACGGUGGAAUGUGUAGAUAUCGG
rnacentral:rRNA from 1 species